rnacentral:misc_RNA from 1 species
CAGCCUAUGGAAAAAAGUUGUCAGAUUUAGCAUUGCCUGUUUAUAAAGCAGGUGGGGAUUGAUCCACCAAUUCAAAAAGUUCAUCUCCUAUCCCAAAUCCAAGCAUCCUGGCCAUGUCACUCGUCUUCAGUCUAGGCUUUGGAAAAUUAUGCUGCUUCAACCAAGAAUAUACAAUGAAAACUUUCUCCAUGAUAAACAAUUCCAAUGCCUCAGGAUUAAAAAC